rnacentral:rRNA from 1 species
AUGGACAUAGCAAAGCCAGCGGCAACUGCAUAUCUUAGGAGGUGGCACACUAGGUUGUGGUUCAGGAGUGAGUUCUCAACAAUUUCCAAGGUGGAUUAUGUUACAAACAACUUGGCUGAGUGCUUCAAUAAUUGGAUUAAGCAUCACAAGUCCUUGAACUUGGACGACUUCUUUGGUAAGGUUAGGCAGAUGAUUAUGAUCAUGUGGAACCGAAGGAGGAAAGUAGCAAGGAAGUUGGUUGGGUUGAUUCUUCCCCACAUAAUUAAGAAGGCAGCCUAUGACCAACUAAUUCCUGCCAUGGUUGACAAGAACCAAUGGCCUAAAUCUGACCAUGGAUUCUUCAUGUUUCCACCACUACUAAAAUCCACGGCGGGUAGGCAUAAAACUGAGAGGUAUAAAGGCUGCAGUGAGAAGAAAAGAAAAAGCGGCCAACACUUAUGCCCUAUUUGUAAGGACUAUGGGCAUCAUUGGCAUAAAUGCAAGAAGGGUAACCCAGAUGACAUUGCUGCUAUUUUAGCUGUGAGAGGACCACCAAAGAAGAGGGCAAAGACCACCAAAGCAUCAAUUGUGCCUUGCGAGGAUGAUGCUCCAGCAGCCUCUAUGUGCUUUCCGCCAAGCCAAAGCUUGGAACCUACAACUACGAAAAAGAGAAAACAUGAUAACUCAAUUACUGGAGCAUCAAAAAGACAAAUGUUGGAGAAAACAACUAAGGAAAAAGGGAAAGGGAGUAAAUCUGGAUCCAGAGUAGCAAAAAGAUCAACAACUCAGCCCAUUUGUGUGCCCAACAAGAAAGCAUCUGUUGCUUUGAAAUUACAUGCCAAAAGAAAAGGCAAAGAGGUUGCUGAUAAGUUGCCACACCUUCCUAUGGUGCCACAUGAUAGCCCUGCAAUGGGCACACGUAGCAAAAAAAUGAAUCCUGCCAGCCCUGCAAUGAGCACACGAAGCAAAAGGAGGCUUAGCUUGUGA